UACGGAGGGUGCGAGCGUUGUCCGGAAUCAUUGGGCGUAAAGGGCGCGUAGGUGGCCCGGUCAGUCUUUGGUGAAAGCGCGGGGCUCAACCCUGCGUCGGCCAGGGAUACUGCCGCGGCUCGAGCACUGUAGAGGCAGGCGGAAUUCCGGGUGUAGCGGUGGAAUGCGUAGAGAUCCGGAGGAACACCGGUGGCGAAGGCGGCCUGCUGGGCAGUUUGGCUGACACUGAGGCGCGACAGCGUGGGGAGCAAACAGG
rnacentral:rRNA from 1 species